rnacentral:ncRNA from 2 species
CAAGCUUGCCGGGCUUGAGGUUCUCCGGUCGUCGCCUGCGACGCGCCGGAGCUAAGAGGGAAGCCGGUGAUCCGUCCAUGCGGAAAGUCCGGCGCUGCCCCCGCAACUGUAAGUGGUGAGCUUGCGUCCAGCAUGUCACUGGGUUCUGCCUGGGAAGACGGACGCAAGCGGUGAGCCGCAAGCCAGGAGACCUGCCUUCAGCAAAACAACGUC